UACAGAGGGUGCGAGCGUUAAUCGGAAUUACUGGGCGUAAAGCGCGCGUAGGCGGCUUGCAAGUCGGGUGUGAAAUCCCCAGGCUUAACCUGGGAACUGCAUUCGAGACUGCAUUGCUAGAGUAUGGGAGAGGGAAGUGGAAUUUCCGGUGUAAGCGGUGAAAUGCGUAGAUAUCGGAAGGAAGACCAGUGGCGAAGGCGAAUCUCUGGACAGUUACUGACACUGAGGCACGAAGGCCAGGGGAGCAAACGGGG
rnacentral:rRNA from 1 species